UUGAUAAGAGACGCUUGUAAUGCAAUACGUGAAGAAUAAAUGGUGUUGAUCUUUUUUUUUUUUCCUACAGUUUCACAGUUGGCCUUUGUAACUGCUGUUGGCUCUGGAGUGUUUUCUACACAGCAAUUGUAAGCCUGUAAUGUAACACACAGAUGGAAACGUGUUUGGUUUCCCUCAGCCACCAACAAUGCAGAAACAGAGUGUUGAAGCAGAAUGAGUGGGUUCAAUUAGAGCAUUUUUUAUUUCUGAGUCUCCUGAUGAACAAUCUAUAUUUAUAUAUUUUUCUUGAUGAGCAGCUGCGGAACCUUCCUGAGCUGUGCUUGUACACUGUGAUUGAAUGUGAGUUAAACUGAGUGGACAGAUGGACGCUUUACCACAGUCAUGGUCAGCUGCUAAUGAAGACCCCAUUUGACUACUGCCAGUGGCAACUGAUGUCCCACAAAGAAAGCAGAAGGAUGGCUUUCUGUCUUACUCUGCCUAGUUGCAGUCAGAGAUGAUCUUUAAGGUCCCUUCCAAACCCAAGCCAUUCUGUGAGUUCAUGCCCUUUCAUUAAGCUGUCUCUUCUAGCACAACACUAGCCUUGUUCCCAGGAUCUUGUUGGCCACUGAGCAAAAUGCAUCCUAGCAUUUUGUUUCUGAAGGAUGAGGUGUUCCAAGUCCAGGCCAAGCAUGUUUGGAGGCUCACAAGAUCUCCUGAAAUUGCACAUUAAUUGAUCCUAGCACACCCUUCAGCCACUCACAGUGUCCCCUGAACAAAUGUUCAUCAUUACCUUCAGCACCUUCCCACAGUUGGCCCUCCCAUCAUGGUUUCAUAAACUCUUCUACCAAGGCCUUGCAUCUGCUGCUCCUAUUUCAAAGAAUCACAGAAUCAUAGAAUGGCCUGGGUUGAAAAGGACCACAAUGCUCAUCCAGUUCCAAUCCCCUGCUAUGUGCAGAGUCACCAACCAGCAGCCCAGGCUGCCCAGAGCCACAUCCAGCCUGGCCUUGAAUGCCUGCAGGGAUGGGGCAUCCACAAUCUCCUUGGGCAACCUGUUCCAGUGUGAUUUUUGUCCCUACCUCUCCUAGAGCCUUCCCACUCCCUCCACUUGGAUAUGGGGUCAUCCUGUUUCCCUUACUUAUCCCUUUAGAUCACCUCAGGCACUUUUUAUCUUUUGCCCAGGACCUCACUAUGAUGGGAGGCCAUAACAUUCCAUUAUAUGGAUGCAAAAGUGUGUUGCAUUUACAGAAGCUAUUCUAACUUGAGUUUGCUCUAUCAGCUCUAUUUGUUACUGUGCAGGAUAAGACAUAGACCAGCUAGCAAUGACAUUAAACACAGCAAUACCAUUGGACAACUUCUAAGUCCUGAUGAGCUGUGCAAAACAUCAUCAGUCAAACUGUUCAGGUGCUCCUCAGCCAAGAAUGAAACAUCCAGUGGUCUUCAGUCUAUCCAGGUGCAGUUGUCUGGGGAAAAGGAGACAAAAUGGAUCUGCAGCUUAUGAGAAGGACAAAUGAGAUGGACACAGAAGUACAUCAAGUGUGCCUGGACAGCUUUAUUUAUGAAGUGAACUGAAACAGACUGUCUCAUAGAAGACUUCAUAAAAGCCUGACGGAGGCAGCCGCCAGCCUUUACAAAGGAAAGACUGUUCUCAGUCAAAGGAUGGAUCACCUCCAUAUUCAGAUCCACUGAACAAGAGCAUCUCAGCCACAACUUAUCAAAUCCCCUGACCAGCAGUGCUGCAGAGAGGUAACACCAGAGCCAGUCUCUCCUGGUGGGUCACUGUUGCAUGUCACUGAUUUUAUCUAGAAUGUUGUCUUCAGCAAACCACACAUCUGUGGGAUACUUUGUUCCAAGGAAAACAUGUAGGUAUGAUGAGGAAGAAAUAAUAUCUCAUCUGACAUUUUCUCAGCAUUACCAGAAACAAAUAAACCUUUCAGCUGUAUGCAGUCAAAGCUGUAGCACCA